GGUUUGAUCCUGGCUCAGGAUGAACGCUGGCGGCGUGCUUAACACAUGCAAGUCGAACGAACCUUCGGGUUAGUGGCGGACGGGUGAGUAACGCGUGAGAAUCUGCCCUCAGGAGGGGGAUAACGGUUGGAAACGACCGCUAAUACCCCAUAUGCCGCGAGGUGAAAUGAAUUUCGCCUGAGGAUGAGCUCGCGUCUGAUUAGUUAGUUGGUGGGGUAAAGGCCUACCAAGACAUCGAUCAGUAGCUGGUCUGAGAGGAUGAUCAGCCACACUGGGACUGAGACACGGCCCAGACUCCUACGGGAGGCAGCAGUGGGGAAUUUUCCGCAAUGGGCGAAAGCCUGACGGAGCAACGCCGCGUGAGGGAUGAAGGUCUCUGGGCUGUAAACCUCUUUUAUCAAGGAAGAAGAUCUGACGGUACUUGAUGAAUAAGCCACGGCUAAUUCCGUGC
rnacentral:rRNA from 1 species